rnacentral:rRNA from 1 species
AGCAUAUCUAAAGCGGAGGAAAAGAAACCAACAGGGAUUGCCCCAGUAACGGCGAGUGAAGCGGCAACAGCUCAAAUUUGAAAUCUGGCCUCGGCCCGAGUUGUAAUUUGCAGAGGAAGCUUCUGGUGCGGCGCCGUCCGAGUCUCCUGGAACGGAGCGCCAUAGAGGGUGAGAGCCCCGUAUGGACGGAUGCCAAACCUGUGUGAAGCUCCUUCGACGAGUCGAGUAGUUUGGGAAUGCUGCUCAAAAUGGGAGGUAAAUUCCUUCUAAAGCUAAAUAUUGGCCAGAGACCGAUAGCGCACAAGUAGAGUGAUCGAAAGAUGAAAAGCACUUUGAAAAGAGGGUUAAACAGCACGUGAAAUUGUUGAAAGGGAAGCGCUUGUGACCAGACUUGAGCGCGGCGGAUCAUCCGGUGUUCUCACCGGUGCACUCCGCCGCGUCCAGGCCAGCAUCGGUUUCCGCGGGGGGACAAAGGUCCCGGGAACGUAGCUCCUCCGGGAGUGUUAUAGCCCGGGGCGUAAUGCCCCCGCGGGGACCGAGGACCGCGCAUCUGCAAGGAUGCUGGCGUAAUGGUCAUCAGCGACCCGUCUUGAAACACGGACCAAGGAGUCAAGGUUUUGCGCGAGUGUUUGGGUGUUAAACCCGCACGCGUAAUGAAAGUGAACGUAGGUGAGAGCUUCGGCGCAUCAUCGACCGAUCCUGAUGUAUUCGGAUGGAUUUGAGUAGGAGCGUUAAGCCUUGGACCCGAAAGAUGGUGAACUAUGCUUGGAUAGGGUGAAGCCAGAGGAAACUCUGGUGGAGGCUCGCAGCGGUUCUGACGUGCAAAUCGAUCGUCAAAUCUGA